rnacentral:rRNA from 1 species
GAUGAACGCUGGCGGCGUGCCUAAUACAUGCAAGUCGAGCGAACGGACGAGAAGCUUGCUUCUCUGAUGUUAGCGGCGGACGGGUGAGUAACACGUGGAUAACCUACCUAUAAGACUGGGAUAACUUCGGGAAACCGGAGCUAAUACCGGAUAAUAUUUUGAACCGCAUGGUUCAAAAGUGAAAGACGGUCUUGCUGUCACUUAUAGAUGGAUCCGCGCUGCAUUAGCUAGUUGGUAAGGUAACGGCUUACCAAGGCAACGAUGCAUAGCCGACCUGAGAGGGGGAUCGGCCCACCUGGACUUGAGACACGUUCCCAACCCCUCCGGGGGGCAGCAGUAGGGAAUCUUCCGCAAGGGGGGAAAGCCUGCCGGAGCAACGCCGCGGGGGUGAGGAAGGUCUUCGGAUCGUAAAACUUUUUUUUUAGGGAAAACAAAUUUUGUAAGUAACUUUGCACAUCUUGACGGUACCAAAUAAGAAAGCCCCGGCUAACUCCGG